GUGCCGUGCCGUGCCGCCGCGCGGCGCCCUCUGCCGUUCCCCCGCGCCGCCUCCCGCAGCGGCUCCUGGCGGCCGGAGGAGCGGGCCGGGCUGUGCUGGAGGGGGGGCAGUUUUGAGCGGUUUUACUUCAGGUUUUCGCUGGAGCUGCUGCCGAAAGGGAGAUUUCGCGUGGCACUGCGCGCCUCAGCACCGCAAACCGCUCCUCCUGUGCUCGUCGUUUAAGGCGUGAAAGCGUUUCAUUUGGGAAGAAAGGACACAGCGAUUCCUCCGUAGUGUGGAUUGGUGUUUUUUUGGCCGCUUGGCCGUUAUCACCACGUGUGAUAUCAGCACAGGGCUUCUGUCGCUCGCGGGGUCAGGUUUUCCAGUUGCUCGCUUCAGAACUUAAUCCUUUAGGUGACAUUAAAAUGAAUUCUGUAACAAAUGGCAGUGAUAUACGUAAAGAACGACCGCUCUGAGUCAGUAAUAAAACAGCGUGGGCAGAAACUCACAAGCAGAAAGACAUCUUCAUGCAAAUUGUCCAAACAAUAAGAAGUAGGAAGGUGAAAAUGCUACUGUCAGAAAUGGGAAUUUUCUGUACGUCUGUUACUCAAAGAAUUAACUAACUCAUAUGGCCCCAUACCAUGCUUAUACCUCAAGCAGAUUAACAUUCAGGGAGCAUUUGAAAUGAGUUGAACCCAAAGCAUGCAAGCCCUGGGAGGUUUGGAGGUGAUUCUCAUUCUUAGAAAUACAGCUGACUGUUGUAACAGCUAAGAGUGCUCAGCCCUUUGCUCUCCCCAAGAGAGACAUGAUAUGUCAUAAGGCAUUGAAGUCUGAACAACUGAGAAUUGUGUGAAGCGUUUGGCAUUCUCUCUAGAAGAAUCUGAUUUCUGGGAUACUGCAUUUUGCUCAAGCCUGUGGACAGAUGUCACUGCCAAAGCUGAGGACCUGUCAAGAAGGAAGAAUCAAAAGGAUGAGAAGCCUCUGUGUUGUUGGAGUCCUGUCACACAGAGCUCUUUAGAGAAGUGCUGCUUCUUCCAGCUGAGAGCCAAGAAGAUGCUCCCCAGGUUUCUUCCAAUUACCCAAGUUCUUAGCAAAAAGCUGUGUUUGAUUGUUUCAAACAAGAACAUUGAACAGGGAGUGCACUCUUUGACUUGGCCUACCAAUCUUCUCACAGGGGCACAAAUACUGCAUUUGGUUCUAAAUAAGGUGGUGGUGGGGAAGCAGCAUAAGAAAGAGAAGCAGCUGUCAGACAGAGGAUACGUUCUGUUUGAUGAGACAUAUGUUCUUCAGCUGAACUUUUCCCUUGUGAUCUGUUGUGCUCAUUCUCCCAGCAGAGAGAGGCUACAUAUUAGAUGGGCAUCAGAUGGCAAGCCUUAGAAAAAUAGAUUGAAAAACAGCGCAAAUAAUUAUCUCUAAGCACGCACAGAGGCAUUCAUUAUUGCUACUGUUAUGCUUCGAAACAUCACAGUGCAGAGUGAGGAGUGGGAAAAGAAAAGCCAUCUCACUUAUUUUUCAGUUUAAAACAUACAUCAUGUCCCUGGCUUACAAAGAAGCUUUAAAAAAGAACCAGCGAAUGUAGCAUGAACCAAUUCCAGGUGAACACAAGAAUCAAUUCAUGAAUGCUUGGAUGUCCCAAGCCAACAUCAGAAGACUUCACAGCACAAUUUAUUGAAGGUGAUAGUGCCUAAAUUGCCUGCCAAGCUAAACGCACACUAUCCAAUCUGGUCAGUAUAAAUUUAAGGAUGUUUUUUUUCCUUGACAGUUACAUUGCUGCAAUCAGGAUUGUUCUAAUAACCAUUUUCUUCUUUGAGGCACUAUUCAAAACAAAAUUACUACUUUAAAAUAAAUUAAACAAACAAACAAACAAACACACUUGCAUAAACAUAAAAAGAGUCUUCAGAAGUACAACAGACAAGUAUUAUACCUGACCAGCUCACAAUAAAACAACAACAGCACUUCACACUCAGCCUUAUGCUGUGGAAAAGGGUGGCAGCAGAUUUUCACACUCCUAUAGGCACAUACAAGCCUUUAUGGGGAUAUACAAGUCAGGGAUUUAGGGGUUUAUGUUAAGGCCUUUUCUUUUGCAUUUCAACUUUGAAUACCUGAGGACAUUCACAACUACCCUUCAGCAGCAUCUGUUAGGGAACAACAUCUGGGUAAUAAACAUUAAUAAGAUUACUUCCUAGAAUGGAUCCCAUGCAUUGGCAAACAAUGAUGUGCCAGGAACAGGCUCCAGCUGCAGCAGGCCAGGCAAUGCUGUUACAGAAAUCUGUGGAAACUGCAGGCUAGUUUGAAAUUUGCCUUGCAAUGAUGAUGUCAGUAGCACCAUUCAGGACUAACAUGAGUUGAUUUUUCAAAGAAAGUCUGAACUUGCCCAAAGCAUAGAAAUAUGGCUCUAUAUGUAAGGUGUCUCAAAAACAAGAGUCUACAAACUGUUAGUAACAGUAUCUCUGUUCUUCAUUAGAAGUGGAGAAUGGACCUGUCCUACCUCCUGUGGUGUUUUACAAACACUGCCAUUUUGAUUCCAAAAUUUUAAACCUGAUGUUCUAUUUACAGACCCAAGCCAGAGCCGUAUAAUUCUCAAUUUGUCCACACAUAUGAGGAACAUAACUACUCACAUAAGCAAAUACUUGAUAAAUCAGCUUAUUUGAUAAAGGGGCUAGACCUGUUGAAGCAAAUUCCUCACUGUAUAUGAAGUAAAGUCCAUCACAUUGAGAAGGAAUUGAAUUCCAAGAAAUCAUCAAUAUGUCUGCAGUGGCUCAGUUGGUAGGAGAUGCUCUAACGUAGGUCAGAGCUUGCUUUCAACCUGACAGAUGCUACUGUGUCAGAUUGGGAACAGCUUCAGCUGGAGUUGCCUAAGGUCUGUGAGUUUUGGCCUUCAUUAUUGCCAAUGAAUCCACCGCCGUCUUUAAUGAAUACAAAGACCAACUGCAAAAGUUAUGCUUCAGUGUUAAGGGGAACAAAAACCCAUUGAUAUCGGCAAAGGUGGAAUUUCAUACAGGCUGUAUUCUUGUCUCUACUUAUUCAGCAGGUAAGGCGACAUCAGUAAGGAGAGACAGGAGACAGUUGGUUACUAUAUUCCAGGCCUGCAGCUCUUACUUUUUUAUUGUUGUAAUUUACAGCACAUAUUUCAAAGCCAGUUAUUCCCUCUAAAACUGCACAGAAACGCCAGAGAACCCAUAGCAGUAAUUUAAGUAUUUGGAUUAGAUUUGAAGCAUAGAAGUGUUUUCAUCUUCACAGCCAAUGAAAUGUCAUUUUGCACCAUGUGCAUGCCUAGGGCAUCUCAGGAAGAAAAAACCCUCGAAUAAAUAAACAGGUUUAAAGAAAAGCUGCAGUCAACACUGUCAUGACUGAUAUCACUGUAUGAAAAUAUUACUUAAAUACAAGGAGUUCAUUCUUAAAUCCCGUCUUUCAAAGCUAAGAUAGUCUGUCAUCCAAUGUGUUCUCCAGUUGUCAUUCAUAGAACAAAUCAGAAGCUAUUACAGGCUGUACCUGUCUGUAGUUCCCCAGCACCUCCUGUGGCUAGAAGACUUUGGGUAGCAGCAUCCAUGACAUGAGGGAUUUGUAUUAGGGAAGCCUACCAUGUUUCUUUUCUGAUUCAGCAGGCAGAACUUUA